ACAAAGAGGAUUUCACCUGUCACCUUUACACUUUUGAUGAGCUACAAUAAGCCACUUCGGACACCAUAGGACUGAGGGAGUCUGCUUGGUGUUAUCCAUGUGUGGGAGUCCCAUGAGUGGAAGCUGAAUUUUGCGGCAGCAGGAACCUUUGGCCCUGAAGUUACACUGUUGUCAAUAUGGAUAUGCCAUUGUCUUUGGAACCAGGAAGGGCUUUGGAUCUAGGGAAACCAGGAUUUAUAAAGUCUAGCUCGAUGCAAAUAUUUCAAGGCUUAAUUCCCCCCACCCCACGCAACAGCAUAAGUUGCUAGCGUUUCGUAGAGUCACUGCCCACAUUGGCCAAUUUACAACAAGGAUCUCUGCUCUCGUUGAACGCAACUGUUGGUGAAAAUGUUUCCAUGCUUGAUCUAGCAGCAGUCAAGACGGAGUACAUUCGUGCCUGAGACUUGUGUGGGGAAAGACCCUUUUAGGAGGAUGGCGGUUCAAGCAGUCAGUGAAGAGAACCAGUCUUAUAGGGACAAGCAGCGGACAAAGCGAAUUCCUACGAGUGAGAACAACACUUUCAGUUGUGCUAAAGAGCGUUUUUUUUUUUUUUUUUUCCAAUCUGAAAGUUCAUUAUAUUUAUUUGUCAUCAGACGAAUUAUUCUGCACUUGUUGCUAAGUCUGUUGCUUGCUUUCUCGGAGUCAUUUCGCUCACUUCUAAUCUCUGUCUUCUAAAUGUGAUAAGCGCUAUAAAAUUCUUUCCUUGUAUGGGAAUUCUCAGGUCUUUUUCCCCCCUCAACAGCUUGAAUUCCUGUAUUCUGAUUAAGAUAGAUGAAGUAUUUGCAUUCUAUCCAUAUUCAUAAUCCUCUUUCAGAGUCAACCUAAAAUACCGCAUUUGUUGCCCAGGCAGAGACAGGCAAUGUGCUGUUGAGCUUUGCAGCUUUUUGUUUCAAUGGAUGAGGAUCCAUCGCUUUCAAAUCCACCAGAACAGUGGCCACUAGGUGAAUUCAGGCUGUAAAAAACCCAGGACAAUCAGAGUGUCUUUUAUAUAUGGCAGAAACGAUAAUUAAUGAUCCCCCCUUUCUAUGCUACAGAAAAAAGAAGGCAGUGCACUCGACAGACAUGUUAUUAAUAGUUUCUGCCAACUUGCCAUGCAUAAAGGGUUUAUUGGUUGCAAUUCCAGUGUAUGAAGACAUUCUUUUCCUUGAAAUGUUCAAGAUGGUUGUUUUAUGGAUGAAAAAUGAAUGCAAUCUGUCUACCGCCACUCAAACUUUGGGU